rnacentral:rRNA from 1 species
UACGUAGGGUCCGAGCGUUGUCCGGAAUUACUGGGCGUAGAGAGCUCGUAGGUGGUUUGUCGCGUUGUUCGUGAAAACUCACAACUCAAUUGUGGGCGUGCGGGCGAUACGGGCAGACUAGAGUACUGCAGGGGAGACUGGAAUUCCUGGUGUAGCGGUGGAAUGCGCAGAUAUCAGGAGGAACACCGGUGGCGAAGGCGGGUCUCUGGGCAGUAACUGACGCUGAGGAGCGAAAGCGUGGGGAGCGAACAGG